UUCUUUUCAAAUUAUUAUUAUUAUUAUCAUUAUCAUUGUCAUUAUUAUCAUCAUCAUCAUCAUCACCAUGAUCAUUGUUUCGGCGUAAAUCUACUACAUAAAUGACAAGUGACAGUUCGUUAAUAUCGAUUUCAACCACGUGAUUAUAAUCCAUUGUAAAUCAGUCAGAUCAACAGUAACCGAGAUCGGAACUCUGAAAUACAGCUUACCAGUACAAUUACAAAACCUACAGCUAACCAGGACUUUGAGAAUAAGAAAACACGAUCGGAUACGCCACAGAAAUCGAAUAAAUAUAUCUUUUCACAUCGUUGGAUUGUUAUACGAUUUGUGGCGAAAUCACCACGGGGACCUAACGCACCAUUACAUUCGAUUUCUUGGAUCUCCUAUUGGUAACGCGAAGGGAUUGAUGUCAGAAGGAAUCAGAAGAUUUGGACAUGAC